rnacentral:lncRNA from 1 species
GGUGGGAAGUCACAGGGUCGUUGUCUGGUCAAAGGCGCGGUGUUUCUCGUCGUGUCGACUUGCAAAUCGGCCUUUCACGAUUGUGAGCGAUGCGACUAAACUUACACAGUUUAGCGAUUGACUGGAGUGCUAGUGGACCCCUAACGGGAGGUCGCGGGAUGCAAGAGACACGCCGACCCACCAAAUCCCCUCCAUUCUGGUUCGAGAGACACUCAUAAUCCAUUCCAGUCAGGGCCUGUACGAUUGGCCAAGGGGUGCGCGUUACACCACACAUGCAGUCUCACAAAAUUCAACCAAGUCUGGUACGGCACAAAUGCAUCCCCACCUGACCCACAAAAUCUGCCCAGUUCUGGUUCCAAUUCUAGUCGGGGAAAUAACUAAUCGGAGGUUGUUCGAUUGUGGAUCGAGGCCGUUGGGCCGAACGGGAGGUAGGCGUGACUACUCUGCUGCUCACACAGCACACAUCGGGGUCCACUGUAACAAUCGCAUCCUCACACAGUCCCGCACCGACACCCCUAGUCAAUACAGCCAUACCGAAGCCGCAUGAGUGAGUGCUAUAACCCUAUGUAUAUAGCGCCUUUUGAAUAUUUAAAUAUUAUCAGUCCUGGUGUCUAUGAGCUCUGUCAUCGUUACCUCCCCUCCCUUGGCACCCUACUUGCUAUAACCCACCCCUUAUACCCACACGUUCUCGUGGUGAUCCGCCGACGGAUCUGCGGCCCCAACCCGGGCUUGGUCGUCAGCGCGGCUCCUUCCUGAUGUAUGUAUGUAUGUAAAUGUACGGAUGGAUGGAUGUGACCACAUGUGUGGUAAUUUAACACACAGCUGACUUGCCAGGAGGUCCAUGACCCACGGGUCGGUGACAUCAGACGGGUCACCAAACUGACCAGGCGUAUUGGCCUUAUCGCUUAUGUGGAUGUAGGUGUGUGUUUUGAUAAUCUUCGAAGCUGCGAGGGUGGCAGGAAAUGCCGAGGGGUGGCGGUGGUUCACGAACAACACCUUUGGUGGUUAACAGAGUCCUGUGAUGGCUCCAGAACCCACCCUUCCAAUACCACCGGUGGAUUGGGGGAAGGUGUCUGGUUUGCCGUACACGUUGCGAUCUAUAUGCCGUGUAAACAUUGUGAUCUAAUCCCUUUCCAGCACAUGUAGCCAGUAUGUAAGUAUGUAUGUGUAUAUGUACGGCGGUUUCCUCUGCAGCAGCACAUCAACACACGAAAUAAGAGGCGCACCUCCCCAGGGCAUUUCCCGAUGUCUACUCCCACCAUGUGUGUGUAUUGAGGUUGGGGGGAGAAGAACCAUAAACCACGAAAUGGAAUUACAGCCCAGUAAUAAGGUAUAUAAACAAAUAAAAUAAAGCAGUGACCCCCAGUACGGCACAUCAGCCCCACUCCACACACCGUACAAUCCCUGUACACACGUUGAAGGGCCCCUUCCCACGCAAUCCGGCGCCUCAUUACCUCAGUCAUCCACCACAUUCACACACUCCAGCUGUAGCAGUCGCUCACCUGACGGGAGGACUGACAGAGCGGAAGCGUGGAGUUAUUAGUCCUCACCGAUGUAGGAAGAAGUCCAACCAAGCGGCAAGCACUAGCGUACAUAAGAUGUGUACGUAACGGUUAGAGACGGCGGCAGCAGAGUCUUGAACUCCGAACACCUAGUAAUGUGAUACGUCAGUGUCUGGCCAGAACACCCCGCCCGGGUAGCUUAUAUCUCGGCCUACCUGCCGGAUAAUCUCUACUACGGACUUUGCCGUACUAGGAUAAUGUUGGUGGGGCCCGGGGCCCCAGCCCGUUAGAUUCGCUUACGAACAGCUGCCCAGUUCGCGACAUGUGACGAAACUCGGAACAUGUACGAAACUUGAGUCAAAUCGUUUACAAAUUAACAGUUAUUGUUAAAAGUAAUCGUUAAAAUAUUCUAAGGGAAAUGUAGCUUGCUACAGUCUCCCCCCUCUGAAGCGAACCGUCCCGGGAGCGUCACUUCUUCUUAGAAGAUUUCCGUCCCUUGGGUUUUUCCGGGGCUUGAGGGUGUUUCUUAGACGCCAGUUUGCGUUCAUAUUCGUCGAUGGAUUCAGCCAAGGGGGUAGACUGGCGAAGGGAUUCCUCUGGUUCAUAGGUAUUAUGACUAGAGUCGUAACCUUCCCAUUUAAUCAAAUACUCUCGACGUGUCUUUCCACGUCCCCCUCGGACUGAAACAUCACGAUGGUCGACAAUAGCUUCGACCAUAAAAUACGGCUCACCCUCAAUGACGAGUGGCGCCGGCGGCUGUCGCUUUACGUCUUCUUUGUACAAUUUCAACAAAGAGACGUGGAAGACCGGGUGUAGGCGGGAGGCCGCCGGUAAGUCCAGUUUUACCGCAGCUUCGCCCACGCGUGCGACAACCGUGUAUGGGCCGAUGAACUUGGGCAUCAGCUUCUUAGUUCCAGGGGUUUUUAAUGUAAUAUUUUUAGUAGAUAACAGCACUUUCUGCCCAACCUCGUAACGCACUGGACGCCUAUGCAUAUCGGCGUCGUCCUUUUGGACUUGUUGCGCAGCCAAGAGACACUUUUUAGCUUUGCUGAUACGCUCACGAAGCAUCGCUUCUUGCUUCUGAGCGGCAGGCACCUUGGUUUUGAGGUGAAGGUCAACCGGCACACGUGGUUGUCGAACACCAUUCAGGGAAAAUGGAGUUGUCCCCAUUGCCUUCUGUUUUGAGUUGUUUAUGGCAAACUCAAUCAGUGGCAAAUGCUCAUCCCAAUCAUCCUGAGUGGGUGAUAUGUAGUGCCUGAGUGUCUCUUCCAGAACGCGGUUCAUGCGUUCCGUUUGCCCGUCUGUUUGCGGGUGAAAAGCUGUGCUCAUAUAGAGGUGGGUGCCCAACAGGCGAAAUGUUUCCUUCCAGAAAUUACUUGUGAAGCGAGAGUCCCGGUCUGAAAUAAUGUUCUUUGGAAGGCCGUGCUGCCUGAAGACGGUAGCCACAAAGAGGCGGGCUACAUCUUCAGCUGUAGCGGUUGUGUGUGUGGGAGCAAAGUGCGUCAUUUUGCUCAGCCGGUCCACGAACACUACAAUCGCAUCGUGCCCAUUGCGGGAUGUCGGUAGCUGCGUAACCAAAUCCAUUGUCACGCUUUCCCACACCUCCGUUGGAAUGGGAAGGGGCUGCAGUAAUCCACCCGGCUUAGCAUUUGUUGGUUUAUUACGCUGACAUUGGGGACAUGAUUUGACGUGUUCUUUAACGCCAGAGUCAAGCCCUGGCCACCAAUAUGAUUGUGCGAUCGCUUGUUUGGUGCGGUCUAUACCGCGGUGGCCUGCGUAAGGGACAUCAUGAUUAGGGUUGGGCAUUUCGUUAGAAUUUUUUCCGUUCUAAUCUAAUUUCUAAUUAGAUUCUAAUUAGAAAUUAGGAUCUAAUAUUAGAAGAAGCUCGACAACUUUUCAGGGAGGGGUCAGUUGAACCUGAAAUUUUGUAUAGGCCAUCACAGAUGUAAACGCACGCAUUUCCAAUUAAAUUUACUCCGGUCGGGUGCCUGGGGAGGGUACCUACCAGCCAAACCCACGCCAGACUUGCUACGGAAACAACCAAGAACGCCGCCAAACCUGUCCUUUUAAGUCCCUACUUGCACAGAAUCACCACAUAACUGCCGGGGGAGUGUUUGCUCGCUAAGGGGAAUGCAAAAACACAGAGAGGAAGGGCUAACGUACGCAAUCGUUCCAACCAUCGAGCUUGCCUUCUGGAAAGUUUAUCAGCGCUUUUCUGCUCUUGCAGAUAGACCAAAGGUUGAUGGUCCGUUACUAGGGUGACAUGACUCGCACCUUCCAAGUAACAACGCCAUUCUUCCAUUGCCAGGACUGUGCCCAAGCAUUCUUGAUCUGUGGUGGAAUAAUUGUAUUCCGCGCUGCUGAAUUUAGAACUUGUAUAAGCAACUGGUCGGUCGUCUUGUAACCAGACAGCACCAGUGCCAUGCAGCGACGCAUCAGACCAAACUACGAAGGGUUUGUCAAGCUCAGGGAGUUUUAAUACUGGUGCAUUUGUCAAGGCAUCUUUCACACCCUGAAAGGCAGUAUCACACUCCUUUGUCCAGUGGAAGGCCCUAUGGCAUAAACAUGCCGGUUACCGACCGUUUGGGGCCCAUUAACCCAACCGGCCGGUUGAAUGGCGUUAACGGCCCGGUUGGGUUAACGGUCGGUUGGGUUAACGGCCAGUUGGGUUAACGAUCAGUUGGGUCAAUGGUCGGUUGGGUUAAUGGGCCCCAAACGGUCGGUAACCGGCAUGUUCAUGCCAUAGGGAGUAUCCCGGUAGCUCGGGAAGCAUCGUUCGCCAAUAUUAAUUCAAGGACUCUAACGCUGCAGGAAAAUUUUAGUAGAAGAUUUAGAACUAUGUAUGUAUUUAGUUUUAGCGUUUGUUCCCGCUUUGAGGGCGUGAAAUGCCGUGUCAUUGUCCCUAAUAAGUCAUUGUCCCGGCAUUUCGGCCGAUGUCCCCAAGCAACUGCUUUGCGUCCAUGUCACUAGAUUGGCGCAAUAGGUUGACAAGGUCGUCCAUAUGGCACCUUUCCUUGGACAAGGCAUCCUCCAAUUGGCACGCGGUAAAUUGACUUAGAUGGUUUGCCCUGGCAAACUUAUGUACUCCAAACUCAUCCACUGGACGAUGCUGGCUGUAUUUCUUGCGUGGGCGAUCUUGUCGCCGACGGGCGAUGUUGUCCAGGGCGUUCCGGUCAAACUCGUAGGCGCCGACCUCAUUACCGUUGUCCAUGGACAUUGUGUUGGAAGGAUACGUUAAGGUUCAGAUAAAAUGAAGAAAUGAAGAAGCGCUCCUUCAUAGUAUGGAGAUGGUGGUUCUGUUCACGGAUGACCGGCCCUAUUAGCCUAUUACUAGGAGGAGGCGAUUUCCAUGAUGGAGUAGUAUUUUGAAAAUCUGUUUGCAUGAUUUUGAAGGGUUUAUAAUUCUAUAAUAUUGCAGUGCAUUCGGUCCUGCAGGCGGGCCGUAUUCUUGCAGUUCUGUGACGCGGCCUGUGGUCAAACAUGAAGCACCCGAGCAUGCCGCAUGUAGCAAAACUGCAUUGGAUUUGAGGUCUACAUAAUCCUGGGUAAUAUUAAAAUUAUUUUGGUGCAACGGCCAACGUCUUUUUAUGAAAUGCGUUCGGACCGCGGGAAGUUGCGAGGCCCGCAGCUGAACUUUGUUGAACGCGGCAUGGNNNNNNNNNNNNNNNNNNNNNNNNNNNNNNNNNNNNNNNNNNNNNNNNNNCUAUGAGCUCUGUCAUCGUUACCUCCCCUCCCUUGGCACCCUACUUGCUAUAACCCACCCNCUUAUACCCACACGUUCUCGUGGUGAUCCGCCGACGGAUCUGCGGCCCCAACCCGGGCUUGGUCGUCAGCGCGGCUCCUUCCUGAUGUAUGUAUGUAUGUAAAUGUACGGAUGGAUGGAUGUGACCACAUGUGUGGUAAUUUAACACACAGCUGACUUGCCAGGAGGUCCAUGACCCACGGGUCGGUGACAUCAGACGGGUCACCAAACUGACCAGGCGUAUUGGCCUUAUCGCUUAUGUGGAUGUAGGUGUGUGUUUUGAUAAUCUUCGAAGCUGCGAGGGUGGCAGGAAAUGCCGAGGGGUGGCGGUGGUUCACGAACAACACCUUUGGUGGUUAACAGAGUCCUGUGAUGGCUCCAGAACCCACCCUUCCAAUACCACCGGUGGAUUGGGGGAAGGUGUCUGGUUUGCCGUACACGUUGCGAUCUAUAUGCCGUGUAAACAUUGUGAUCUAAUCCCUUUCCAGCACAUGUAGCCAGUAUGUAAGUAUGUAUGUGUAUAUGUACGGCGGUUUCCUCUGCAGCAGCACAUCAACACACGAAAUAAGAGGCGCACCUCCCCAGGGCAUUUCCCGAUGUCUACUCCCACCAUGUGUGUGUAUUGAGGUUGGGGGGAGAAGAACCAUAAACCACGAAAUGGAAUUACAGCCCAGUAAUAAGGUAUAUAAACAAAUAAAAUAAAGCAGUGACCCCCAGUACGGCACAUCAGCCCCACUC